rnacentral:ncRNA from 2 species
CGCCCAUCGGGCGAUGGGGUCCGCCUUUCACAACCGCUGGGCAGCCAGCUGAUGACUCCUCCCGGAGA